GUCCGAGUAGUUCAGUCGGUAGAACAUAAAAUUAAAAAUCUUGGGGGCGUGGGUUCAAGUCCCACCUCUGGAUA